UACGUAGGGGGCAAACGUUGUCCGGAAUCAUUGGGCGUAAAGGGUGCGUAGGUGGCGCUGUAAGUCGGGUGUGAAAUUUCGGAGCUUAACUCCGAAACUGCAUUCGAUACUGCGGUGCUUGAGGACUGGAGAGGAGACUGGAAUUCAUGGUGUAGCAGUGAAAUGCGUAGAGAUCAUGAGGAAGACCAGUGGCGAAGGCGGGUCUCUGGACAGUUCCUGACACUGAGGCACGAAGGCCAGGGGAGCAAACGGG
rnacentral:rRNA from 1 species